GACGAACGCUGGCGGCGCGCUUAACACAUGCAAGUCGAGCGAAGCGGCGGACGGGUGAGUAACACGUGAGUAACCUGCCUUAGACAUUGGGAUAGCCUCGGGAAACCGGGAUUAAUACCAAAUGGUCUCAGAUGGACUCGCGUCCCCUUAGCUAGUUGGUGAGGUAAUGGCCCACGAAGGCGGCGAUGGGUAGCCGGCCUGAGAAGGUGAACGGCCACAGUGGAACUGAGAAAGUAUACAAAAUCUACGGGAGGCAGCAGAGUGGAAUAUUGCACAAUGGAGGGAACGCUGAUGUAGAGACGCCGCUUGAACGGAGAAGUCGUUUGAGGCGUAAAGUUCUUUUAUAUGGGAAGCGGUACCAUAAGAAAAAGCCCCGGCUAACUACGUGCCAGCAGGCGCGGUAAUAG
rnacentral:rRNA from 1 species